GUUGGAAACGACGUGCUAAUACCGCAUACGCCCUACGGGGGAAAGGAGGGGACCUUCGGGCCUUCCGCGAUUGGAUAAACCUAGGUGGGAUUAGCUAGUUGGUGAGGUAAUGGCUCACCAAGGCGACGAUCCCUAGCUGUUCUGAGAGGAUGAUCAGCCACACUGGAACUGAGACACGGUCCAGACUCCUACGGGAGGCAGCAGUGGGGAAUAUUGGACAAUGGGCGCAAGCCUGAUCCAGCCAUACCGCGUGGGUGAAGAAGGCCUUCGGGUUGUAAAGCCCUUUUGUUGGGAAAGAAAUCCAGCCGGCUAAUACCUGGUUGGGAUGACGGUACCCAAAGAAUAAGCACCGGCUAACUUCGUGCCAGCAGCCGCGGUAAU
rnacentral:rRNA from 1 species